GACGAACGCUGGCGGCGUGCUUAACACAUGCAAGUCGAACGGAAAGGCCCUGCUUGUGGGGGGGGCUCGAGUGGCGAACGGGUGAGUAACGCGUGAGUAACCUGCCCUUGACUUUAGGAUAACUUCAGGAAACUGGGUCUAAUAUCGGAUAGGCGCUCCUGCUGCAUGGGGGGGGUUGGAAAGUUUCGGCGGUUGGGGAUGGACUCGCGGCUGAUCAGCUUGUUGGUGGGGUAGUGGCUUACCAGGGAUUUGACGGGUAGCAGGCCGGAGAGGGGGACGGCCCAAAUUGGGAUUGAGAUACGGCCAAAAAUCCACGGGGAGGCAGCGGUGGGGAAUAUUCCGCAAUGGGCGGGGGCUUAAUGAAGGAGAGCGGGGUGCGGGAGACCGGCCUUCGGGUUGUAACCGCCUUUCGCAUGGGACGAAGCGUGAGUGACGGUACUGGGUAAAGAAGCACCGGCUAACUACGUG
rnacentral:rRNA from 1 species